CCAUUAUAAAUUUGAGCGUUGAAUACUCACUGCAUUCAAAAACUCUCAACUUUCAAUUUUUCAUUACAUUCAAAACCAUUUGUGUGAGGUAAUUUUCGUAGUGUUAUUUUUCGUACAAAUGGAUAGACGUUCAGUUUACGGUCCUCGUGAUGGUACUGUAUUAUCUCAACAAGCCCAACAACCUAGAUGCCGUACUAAUUUCACGGCAUGCGGAUGGUAGCUUUUGGAGUCAUUUUCACCAAAAUAAUAUAUUUGAGCGUGUACAAGAAAUCCUACACCAAGUAGGAUUUUAUGGAGUCUACAGGUGUGGACGCCUUCAAUUAAAUCAACACCCCAUCACUGCAUUAGUGGAGAAGUGGCGAUCGAAGACCCACACUUUUUAUUUUCGUGUAGGGAAAGCCACAAUUACCCUACAAGAUAUUCAAAUAAUAUGGGCACUCCCAAUAGACGGUGAGCCGGUGACUGAAAUUGAUCUCGACCGCCCAACACAACAAUGACAAGAAUAUUGCCUUACUUACAUAGGCUUUAGUCCAGAUGCAAAUGUGUUGAAGGGCUCGAGACUACAGACGUCCGCAAUUACAUCUCAUUUGGCGGCGGUCGAAAUCACUUAUAACACUCCCCAUGCUGUCGUCGUCCAGUACGCACGUGCCGUUGCAUUACUUCUAUUUGGGGGAUUGAUGUACUCAGAUUCCUCAAGUAACUAUGUCUCAUUACUAUAUCUCUCAAAAUUAGAAGAUAUAGAAACCGUGAGGAACUAUAGUUGGGGAGUGCUGUGCUGACAUUUUUAUAUCGCGAAUUAUGCAAUGCGAGCACAAAAGGCAAAGCGGCAAUUGGUAAGGCGCUGCAAUUGCUACAGAUUUGGGUAUGGUCACGGAUUACGCCACUUUGUCCUGGACUUGGUGCCCAAUGACUAUUUAUGGGCUAAGUCCAAAUGGACAACAAUUGCUGGCUCCCAGCAGCACCAUAUGGUGCUACUUGGAAUUGUCAGCACACUUUCACCACUACAGUACGGGGAACUGUCCGAGUCAUACGAGAAAUAUUGGAUGACAUGUAGGCGGAUCAUGUAACUUAUUUUUAAUAUUAUUCAUAUAUUUAUACCGUGAAUUAAAUUCGUAUUAAUUUACAUCUUUGAAUUUAUUACAGUUCAUAUGACAGCCGUAUGACAUGGACUCGGAUGUCAUUAUGGCUUACGCCGAUGAAUUGAACCCCCAGUUGUGGAGGUCAUCCGUUCCAUUGAUAUUCUACACA